GGUUUUGUGGUGUAAUGGCAGCACUGAGGAUUCUGAUUCCUCCAAUCUGGGUUCGAUUCCCAGCAAAACCU
rnacentral:tRNA from 1 species